CCUGUGUGUGUGUGUGUGUGUGUGUGUGUGUGUGUGUGUGUGUGUGUUCAUGUGUGCACGCAUGCGCACAGGCACAC
rnacentral:miRNA from 10 species